rnacentral:rRNA from 1 species
UCAGUAAUGUUGCGCUGAUUUGCUCUAUGCGGGAAGAAUAACCACGGUAACCUGUGGCUAAGAGUGUAGAAUAAGGUGCAAUCCUAUUAGUUUGUUGGUAGUGUAAAGGACUACCAAGGCAGUGAUGGGUAACGGGAAAUCAGGGUUUGAUUCCGGAGAGGGAGCCUGAGAGAUGGCUCCCACGUCCAAGGAUGGCAGCAGGCGCGAAAAUUGUCCACUCUUUUGAGAGGAGACAGUUAUGAAACGUGAGUAGAAGGGUCGAGUGUAAAAACCUUGACGUGAAGCAAUUGGAGGGCAAGUUUUGGUGCCAGCAGCCGCGGUAAUUCCAACUCCAAGAGUGUCUAUGGUGGAUGCUGCAGUUAAAGGGUCCGUAGUCGUAGAUGCAAUUAAAAGGUGGUGUUAAAAGCCAUUGAGUUUGUUGAGAGUAGCGGAACGGAUAGGGAGCAUGGUAUAGGUGGGCAAAGAAUGAAAUCUCAAGACCCCACCUGGACCAACGGAGGCGAAAGCGAUGCUCUUAGACGUAUCUGGGGAUCAAGGACGAAGGCUAGAGUAUCGAAAGUGAUUAGACACCGCUGUAGUUCUAGCAGUAAACUAUGCCGACAAUGCUGGGUGUUGCGAGAGCGAUGCUUGGUGUGGGAGAAAUCUUAGUUUUCGGGCUCUGGGGAUAGUACGCUCGCAAGGGUGAAACUUAAAGCGAAAUUGACGGAAGGACACUACCAGGAGUGGAUUGUGCUGCUUAAUUUAACUCAACGCGGGAAAACUUACCAGGGUCAAGUCUAUCGUAGAUUGGAGACAUGAGGUAGACAAGAGUGGUGCAUGGCCGUUGGAAAUUGAUGGGGCGACUUUUAGCUUAAGUGCUGGAACCAGUGAGAUCUUCUAGACAGGUGUUAUUUAGGCACAGGAGGGAGAAGGCAAUAACAGGUCCGUGAUGCCCUUAGAUAUCCUGGGCAGCAAGCGCAAUACAAUAUCUCUUGAGAAGACAAAGCAAUUUGA